rnacentral:rRNA from 1 species
GACGAACGCUGGCGGCGUGCUUAACACAUGCAAGUCGAACGGUAAGGCCCUUCGGGGUACACGAGUGGCGAACGGGUGAGUAACACGUGGGUGAUCUGCCCUGCACUUCGGGAUAAGCCUGGGAAACUGGGUCUAAUACCGGAUAGGACCACUGCCUGCAUGGGUGGUGGUGGAAAGCUUUUGCGGGGUGGGAUGGGCCCGCGGCCUAUAGGCUUGUUGGUGGGGUGAUGGCCUACCAAGGCGACGACGGGUAGCCGGCCUGAGAGGGUGACCUGCCACACUGGGACUGGGAUACGGCCCAGACUCCUACGGGAGGCAGCAGUGGGGAAUAUUGCACAAUGGGCGCAAGCCUGAUGCAGCGACGCCGCGUGAGGGAUGACGGCCUUCGGGUUGUAAACCUCUUUCAGCACCGACGAAGCGCAAGUGACGGUAGGUGCAGAAGAAGGACCGGCCAACUACGUGCCAGCCGCCGCGGUAAAAC